rnacentral:rRNA from 1 species
AAAUUGAAGAGUUUGAUCAUGGCUCAGAUUGAACGCUGGCGGCAGGCCUAACACAUGCAAGUCGAACGGUAACAGGAAGCAGCUUGCUGCUUCGCUGACGAGUGGCGGACGGGUGAGUAAUGUCUGGGAAACUGCCUGAUGGAGGGGGAUAACUACUGGAAACGGUAGCUAAUACCGCAUAAUGUCGCAAGACCAAAGAGGGGGACCUUCGGGCCUCUUGCCAUCGGAUGUGCCCAGAUGGGAUUAGCUUGUUGGUGGGGUAACGGCUCACCAAGGCGACGAUCCCUAGCUGGUCUGAGAGGAUGACCAGCCACACUGGAACUGAGACACGGU